CUCUCCGUCUCGGGGUGCUCUGAACGUGCUGCGCGCAUAUCUUUGCGCGCAUGUCAGGGCUGAGAGAAACCCGCAGCACCUGAACGCGGUAAUGCGCGCGUAGGGAAGACGGAGAUUCACAUU
rnacentral:ncRNA from 2 species